rnacentral:lncRNA from 1 species
AGAGAGACAGUCUCAGAUGGUGACUGCUUGUUGCAGAGAAGAAGAGAUCUGGAAAAACGCAGUUUGAUUAGCAAGGCUGGGUGUGUUUUCUAAACUGUAUGAAGUCACCAAGGGCAAGCGGAACAAAUACCUGAGCCUGAUCCACAUCUCAAACCAGAACCUGGCAGAGGUGCAAGAGAAGCUGGCCAAACUGGAAGAAAAUCUUAAGACACUGCAAUCGAUUGCUAUCAACAAAGACAAGGCUGUGCAGCUUGUAGAAAAAGAGCAGGAAUUGUAUAUUUUCUAUGAGAAGUUAAAUGGUGAUGGAAAUGAUCGAAGACAGCAACCUGAAGAUACAAAACAUGGAGGAUGAAAUCGGCAACCUGAAAACUGAUCAGAAAGACCAAGAAAGACAGAACAACCCACACAUGAAACAGUUCUCCAGUAAACUGGCACUAGAGGAAGAAAGCAUCUUAUUACAGAUACAGGUGCGGCUGUUUUUGUCUGUGGCAUAG